rnacentral:rRNA from 1 species
AUUGAACGCUGGCGGCAGGCCUAACACAUGCAAGUCGAGCGAGCGGCGGACGGGUGAGUAAUGUCUGGGAAACUGCCUGAUGGCGGGGGAUAACUACUGGAAACGGUAGCUAAUACCGCAUACCAUCAGAUGUGCCCAGAUGGGAUUAGCUAGUAGGUGGGGUAACGGCUCACCUAGGCGACGAUCCCUAGCUGGUCUGAGAGGAUGACCAGCCACACUGGAACUGCGACACGGUCCAGACUCCUACGGGAGGCAGCAGUGGGGAAUAUUGCACAAUGGGCGAAAGCCGGAUGUAGCCAUGCCGCGUGUACGAAGAAGGCCUUCGGGUUGUAAAGGACUUUCAGCGGGGAGGCGUUACCCGCAGAAGAAGCACCGGCUAACUCCGUGCCAGCCGCCGCGGUAAUUC